UACGUAGGGCGCAAGCGUUGUCCGGAAUUACUGGGCGUAAAGAGCUCGUAGGCGGUCUGUCGCGUCGGCUGUGAAAACUUGGGGCUCAACCCCAAGCCUGCAGUCGAUACGGGCAGACUAGAGUGCGGUAGGGGAGACUGGAAUUCCUGGUGUAGCGGUGAAAUGCGCAGAUAUCAGGAGGAACACCGAUGCGAAGGCAGGUCUCUGGGCAUUAACUG
rnacentral:rRNA from 1 species